rnacentral:rRNA from 1 species
GUUUACGGCCAUACCACCCUGAAUGUGCCCCAUCUUGUCUGAUCUCAGAGGCUAAGGUGGGUUGGGCCUGGUUAGUACUUGGAUACAGGAGAAGUUCAGGUUUUCAUUUAGA